AUUGAACGCUGGCGGCAUGCUUUACACAUGCAAGUCGAACGGCAGCACGGGCUUCGGCCUGGUGGCGAGUGGCGAACGGGUGAGUAAUGCAUCGGAACGUGCCCAUGUCGUGGGGGAUAACGUAUCGAAAGGCACGCUAAUACCGCAUACGCCCUGAGGGGGAAAGCGGGGGAUUCUUCGGAACCUCGCGCGCUUGGAGCGGCCGGUGUCGGAUUAGCUAGUUGGUGGGGUAAAGGCUCACCAAGGCGACGGUCCGUAGCGGGUCUGAGAGGAUGAGCCGCCACACGGGGACUGAGACACGGCCCAGACUCCUACGGGAGGCAGCAGUGGGGGAUUUUUGACAAUGGGCGCAAGCCUGAUCCAGCCAUGCCGCGUGAGUGAAGAAGGCCUUCGGGUUGUAAAGCUCUUUCGGCCGGGAAGAAAUCGCACUCUCUAACAUAGGGUGUGGAUGACGGUACCGGACUAAGAAGCACCGGCUAACUACGUGCCAGCAGCCGCCGUAACAC
rnacentral:rRNA from 1 species